GCUUUUCUGUGGCUCAGUCAGUUUUGCAUUAUGCUAGCAACACAAAGGUUGUGGGUUCAAACCCCAGGGAAAGCA